CCUAAGGUAGCGAAAUUCCUUGUCGGGUAAGUUCCGACCUGCACGAAUGGCGUAACGACUUCCCCACUGUCUCGACCAGGAGCUCGGCGAAAUUGCAGUACGAGUAAAGAUGCUCGUUAAGCGCAGAAGGACGAAAAGACCCCGGGACCUUUACUAUACCUUGGUAUUGGCAUUCGGUGUGGAUUGUGUAGCAUAGGCGGAAGGCUUCGAAGCCACGGCGCCAGCCGCGGUGGAGCCGCAAGGUGAAAUACCGCUCUGUUCGCAUUGGAUGUCUAACCUCGACCAGUCAUCCUGGUCAGGGACAGUGCCUGGCGGGUAGUUUAACUGGGGCGGUUGCCUCCCAAAGAGUAACGGAGGCGCUCAAAGGUUCCCUCAGCCCGGUUGGCAAUCGGGUGGCGAGUGUAAGUGCACAAGGGAGCUUGACUGCGAGACUGACGGGUCGAGCAGGGACGAAAGUCGGAACUAGUGAUCCGGUGCCGGUGUACGGACGCGGCAUCGCUCAACGGAUAAAAGGUACCCCGGGGAUAACAGGCUGAUCAUUCCCAAGAGUCCAUAUCGACGGGAUGGUUUGGCACCUCGAUGUCGGCUCGUCGCAUCCUGGGGCUGGAGCAGGUCCCAAGGGUUCGGCUGUUCGCCGAUUAAAGCGGCACGCGAGCUGGGUUCAGAACGUCGUGAGACAGUUUGGUCUCUAUCCUCUGCGCUCGUCGGAAUGUUGAGGAGGCCUGCCCAUAGUACGAGAGGACCUGGGUGGACGAACCUCUGGUAUGCCGGUUGUCACGCCAGUGGCACGGCCGGUUGGCUACGUUCGGAAGGGAUAACCGCUGAAAGCAUCUAAGCGGGAAGCCUGCUCCAAGAUAAGCAUUCCAUAGGACUACGGGUCCUUGAAGUCCCCAUGCAGAACACGUGGUUGAUAGGCCGGACGUGGAAGCCCCGCGAGGGGUGGAGCCGACCGGUACUAACGGACGAAAGGCAACACAAC
rnacentral:rRNA from 1 species